AUUGAACGCUGGCGGCAGGCCUAACACAUGCAAGUCGAGCGGAUGAAGGGAGCUUGCUCCUGGAUUCAGCGGCGGACGGGUGAGUAAUGCCUAGGAAUCUGCCUGGCAGUGGGGGAUAACGUCCGGAAACGGGCGCUAAUACCGCAUACGUCCUGAGGGAGAAAGUGGGGGAUCUUCGGACCUCACGCUAUCAGAUGAGCCUAGGUCGGAUUAGCUAGUUGGUGGGGUAAAGGCCUACCAAGGCGACGAUCCGUAACUGGUCUGAGAGGAUGAUCAGUCAGACUGGAAGUGAGACACGGUCCAGACUCCUACGGGAGGCAGCAGUGGGGAAUAUUGGAGAAUGGGCGAAAGCCUGAUCCAGCCAUGCCGCGUGUGUGAAGAAGGUCUUCGGAUUGGAAAGCACUUUAAGUUGGGAGGAAGGGCAGUAAGUUAAUACCGUGCUGUUUUGACGUUACCAACAGAAUAAGCACCGGCUAACUUCGUG
rnacentral:rRNA from 1 species